CCCAACCCCUGUGACAUACCACUUGUUGCCUCGGCGGAUCAGCCCGCUCCCGGUAAAACGGGACGGCCCGCCAGAGGACCCCUAAACUCUGUUUCUAUAUGUAACUUCUGAGUAAAACCAUAAAUAAAUCAAAACUUUCAACAACGGAUCUCUUGGUUCUGGCAUCGAUGAAGAACGCAGCAAAAUGCGAUAAGUAAUGUGAAUUGCAGAAUUCAGUGAAUCAUCGAAUCUUUGAACGCACAUUGCGCCCGCCAGUAUUCUGGCGGGCAUGCCUGUUCGAGCGUCAUUUCAACCCUCAAGCACAGCUUGGUGUUGGGACUCGCGUUAAUUCGCGUUCCUCAAAUUGAUUGGCGGUCACGUCGAGCUUCCAUAGCGUAGUAGUAAAACCCUCGUUACUGGUAAUCGUCGCGGCCACGCCGUUAAACCCCAACUUCUGAAUGUUGACCUCGGAUCAGGUAGGAAUACCCGCUGAACUUAAGCAUAUCAA
rnacentral:rRNA from 1 species